GGCCUGGUGGUCUAGCGGUAUGAUUCGCGCUUCGGGUGUUCAAUCCGAUACGUUCUAACGUAUUUACUGUGCGAGGUCCCGGGUUCAAUCCCCGGCCAGGCCC